rnacentral:rRNA from 1 species
UACGGGGGGGGCAAGCGUUGUUCGGAAUUACUGGGCGUAAAGGGCUCGUAGGCGGCCAACUAAGUCAGACGUGAAAUCCCCAGGCUUAACCUGGGAACUGCGUCUGAUACUGGAUGGCUUGAAUUCGGGAGAGGAUGCAGAAUUCCAGGUGUAGCGGUGAAAUGCGUAGAUAUCUGGAGGAAUACCGGUGGCGAAGGCGGCAUCCUGGACCGACAUUGACGCUGAGGAGCGAAGCUAGGGAGCAAACGGG